rnacentral:tRNA from 1 species
UGGUCUAGUGGUUAAGGCACCAGGUUAGAAAGCAGGAGGCCGUGGGUUCAAAUCCUGC